rnacentral:rRNA from 1 species
GAUGAACGCUGGCGGCGUGCUUAACACAUGCAAGUCGAGCGAUGAAGUUUCCUUCGGGAAACGGAUUAGCGGCGGACGGGUGAGUAACACGUGGGUAACCUGCCUCAUAGAGUGGAAUAGCCUUUCGAAAGGAAGAUUAAUACCGCAUAAUGUUGAAAGAUGGCAUCAUCAUUUAACCAAAGGAGCAAUCCGCUAUGAGAUGGACCCGCGGCGCAUUAGCUAGUUGGUGGGGUAACGGCCUACCAAGGCGACGAUGCGUAGCCGACCUGAGAGGGUGAUCGGCCACAUUGGGACUGAGACACGGCCCAGACUCCUACGGGAGGCAGCAGUGGGGAAUAUUGCACAAUGGGGGAAACCCUGAUGCAGCAACGCCGCGUGAGUGAUGAAGGUUUUCGGAUCGUAAAGCUCUGUCUUUGGGGAAGAUAAUGACGGUACCCAAGGAGGAAGCCACGGCUAACUACGUGCCAGCAGCCGCGGUAAAAC